CUGGAGAACUAUGGGAAUGUGGCCUUUCUGGCUAGAACUAUACGAGAGACUAUGGUGGAGACAGACAACGGCCUCGCAUCCAAAGAAAGGCUGGAGAGUUCCUCAAGACAAUUUCAAGAUCAUAUCUCCUUCCCUGAUGAGCUGCCUGAGAGAGAGGAUGAUCAGAGGAAUGAGGAGGGUGAGGGACUUCAUCAGCAAAGGGCAGAUACAGUUAAAAAUGAAGAUUUGAAAGAAAACAUUAGGAAUCGAGGCAGACCAAGGAGGAAGAAAGGCGGCCAUACGAUUGAGAAGAAAGAUGGAAGAAAGGGUCAUGUAUAUUUGCC